ensembl:lncRNA
GCCCCCUUUUCCCUGUUAAUGCCCUAUCGGCCCCCCUGGCUAAACUUUGCUAGAUCCGCCCCUGCACAGUUACCAGCCGUCAGCUACGUAGAAAAAGAUCCUCGAGUAGAAAGUAAUAUUAAAUACAUUCUAACAACAGCUGAUCAAGCUUAAACGUGCUGCUGUUGUUCAGCCGCUGGUUUCCUCUUUCUGGUGCAACGUGGGCCAAAAGCAAACUAGAGACACGGACUCGCGACAGAAAAGCCGAUCAGCUGAUCGUUAAGCAGUUUCAUGAUUGAAGUAGCAGCAGGAGAGGCAGUCGCUUGUUAAGCUUAACGCAGGAAUGCUUUACAAACAUUCAGAGAUGGACUUACACACUUGCUUUACUUCUCUCGGGGAUAACUUUGUCGGAGAUGAAAUGCCGGGUUGCUAGCGAAGCUCCAAAUGCUAUCCAGACCACCGACAGCUCCCGCAUGCCACAGCCGCUCUAUCACGUGAUGCAUACUGCUCCGGCGUGCUAACGUUCUGAGGUGAGUUACGGCGUGUUGCAAGUUUUGUGAGGUGCUUUCGUGAUAUUUAAUGGAUCGGAUUACAUUUUUUAUUUUUCUCCGAUAUCCGAUCCAGUAAUUUAGGUCAGUAUCGGACAGAUACCGAUACGUAAUAUCGGAUCGGUCCAUCUCUAGUAUUUACUGCUGUUUACACUUAGCUAGAUUAACGUGAUGGUGUUGUGUUUAGUAUGUUGCUGUUUUUUUUUUGCUUAUUUUCUCUUCUUUUUCUCUCAACAGGUGAUCCAGGAGAUUUUUUUUUCUCCCCCCCUUUCUCACUGUCCCUCUCCCCUUCUGUUUUUCCUUUCCUUCCUCUUUCUUUCUCCCUUUCCUAUCUCUCACUCAUGUCUGUCCCGUCUGUAACAUCUGAAAAUAAAAUAUAAUAAAUAAUAAAAACAAAGAUCGACCAAAUGGACCAAUACGGCAAUGCCACGAUGAUCCAUUUGGCAAAGUAAAUCCAUUGGGUAUCCUUGUUGGUCUUCAGACAACAAUUCUGAUGGCUGAAGAACCAAAUGGGACAGGCGGGAAAAAAAAAAAAAAAAAAAGUUUCCUGUUGUUGUAAACUAUUUUUUGCAACUUUUUUGUAUUUAAAGUUUUGAGGGAUAAACCUCUUAAAUUUCUC